UAAAAUAAUUAAGGGCACACAAAGGAUGCCUAGGUAGUAAGAGCCGAUGAAGGACGUGGUAAGCUGCGAUAAGCCUAGAUAAGUUGCAAUCGAACGUAAGAGUCUAGGAUUUCCGAAUGGAGCAAUCUAUUAAGAUGGAGUCUUAAUACGAAAGAGGGAACCGCGUGAACUGAAACAUCUAAGUAACGCGAGGAAAAGAAAGUAAAAACGAUACCCAAAGUAGCGGCGAGCGAAAUGGGUCAAGCCUAAACCUUAAAUAUGUCAAGGAUACAGCCGUUGUAUUUAAGGGGUUGAGGGACAGAGUAGUGAAGAACUGUAAGAUAUUCAAUAUAGUGUAUUGAUGAAUUGGAAUUGUCUGGAAAGGCGAACCGUAGAAGGUGAAAGUCCUGUACAAGUAAAUCCUUACACAUAUAACUCUGCUCCCAAGUAACAUGGAACACGAGGAAUUCUGUGUGAAUCUGUGAGGACCAUAUCUCAUAAGGCUAAAUACUCUUACUAACCGAUAGCGCAUAGUACCGUGAGGGAAAGGUGAAAAGAACCCCUGGAGGGGAGUGAAAUAGAACCUGAAAUUGUGUGCUUACAAGCGGUCAGAGCCAGCAAUGGUGAUGGCGUGCCUUUUGGAGAAUGAUCCUGCGAGUUACGUUAAACGGCGAGGUUAAGUAUAACGGAGCCGAAGGGAAACCAAGUCUUAAUAGGGCGAUUUAGUCGUUUGGCGUAGACGCGAAACCUGGUGAUCUAAACCUGUCCAGGAUGAAGCUGUGGUAAGACACAGUGGAGGUCCUAACCCACCGCCGUUGAAAAGUUGGGGGAUGAGGUAGGUUUAGGGGUGAAAAGCCAAUCGAACCAGGAGAUAGCUCGUUCUCUCCGAAAUGCAUCUAGGUGCAGCCUUGAGUGUUCAAUUAUGGGGGUAGAGCACUGAAUGAUCUAGGGGGCGUAUUGCUUACUGAAAUCAAUCAAACUCCGAAUACCAUAAUUUAUAGCUCAGGAGUGAGACUAUGGGAGUUAACUUCCAUUGUCGAAAGGGAAACAACCCAGACCACCAGCUAAGGUCCCUAAUUAUAACUAAGUGGGAAAGGAGGUGGAGAUUCACAAACAACUAGGAGGUUGGCUUAGAAGCAGCCAUACCUUUAAAGAGUGCGUAAUAGCUCACUAGUCGAGAGUCUCUGCGCCGACAAUGUAACGGGGCUAAGUUAUAAACCGAAGCUGUGGAAUCCGUAAGGAUUGGUAGGAGAGCGUUCUGUAGGCCGUUGAAGGAGAAGGGUAACCGACUUUGGAGGUAUCAGAAGUGAGAAUGCAGGAAUAAGUAGCGAGAAAGGGGGCGAGAAUCCCCCUCGCCGGAAGACCAAGGUUUUCAGGGUAAAGCUUGUCUUCCCUGAGUAAGCCGGGACCUAAGCCCAGGCUAUAAUGCGUAGGCGAAUGGAAAACAGAUUAAUAUUUCUGUGCCAGUCAUAUAUUGUGAUGGAGGGACGCAGAAGGGUAUGCGCGCGGACGAACGGAAGUGUCCGUAGAAGUAUGUAGGAUGACUUGAUAGGAAAAUCCAUUGAGUUAUAUCUGAGGUAUGAUAUACAGUCGUAAGAUGAAUGCGCAAAUCCCACGCUGCCAAGAAAAGCUUCUAACGUUAAUAUUUGACUGCCCGUACUGUAAACCGACACAGGUGGUCAGGAUGAGAAAUCUAAGGCGGACAGGCUAACUCUCGUUAAGGAACUCUGCAAAAUAACCUCGUAACUUCGGGAGAAGAGGAGCCCUUGAGGGUCAGUAUCCACGCGAUACAAAGCGCUCGAGGGUCGCAGUGAAGAGGCUCAAGCAACUGUUUAACAAAAACACAGGUCUAUGCUAAGCUGGAAGGCGAUGUAUAUGGGCUGACACCUGCCCAGUGCUGGAAGGUUAAGAGGAGGAGUGAGAGCUCCGAAUUGAAGCCCCAGUGAACGGCGGCCGUAACUAUAACGGUCCUAAGGUAGCGAAAUUCCUUGUC
rnacentral:rRNA from 1 species